rnacentral:misc_RNA from 1 species
GAAAAUGGCAGAAACCGAUUGACAUGUCUGCGAUUUUCGUAGUUUAUUUUUGGGUACAAUAAUUACUGCCUUUGUACUUUUUUGGAGUGCUAAUGUGUUACUUUAUAAAGCAUUACAUUUAUUAACCGUGCAUAUAAAUCAAGUAAUACUAAGGUGAACAUGACGCAGUAUGUUGCAAUUCUUUGAAGAAAAUAACUUUGGCAUAAUGAUAACAAAAGAUGUAAAAAAAUCAACCUUGUAUCCCUACGAGUUCGUUUUCGUCACAUGUGUAUUGUAGAGAUUAACGAGUCAUGAUUAUUGGCGGCCGCGAAAGUGCGAGAAAGCAUACGUAACUGGUGCAAAAGUGGUUUCAGUGAUUGUGACGUCACGUACUCGAAAAUACGCUGUUUAGUGUGUAAAUAAGUGUCGUCCGGAUGCGCGGCGGCUCGCGCGCGCUCUCCGGUGUCCUGGGCAGGGCGCUUUUCGCGGCGUGAGGCUCCGCGAGGAUGGGCGGCGAUGUCUGCCCCGACCGAGAGCGCCGCCAGCCUCUCCGCCUGUGCCUGCACUAACAUAUCGCUUAUGCAACUGUUCCACGAGCUGAAGCAGAAGUUCCCGAGCGUACCCGACCAUGUUGUGUCUAGCACCAUCGAGCUGUACUGCCACGACAAGCAAGCCUGUGAGACCCAACUGCACAGCGAAGUCAAGGCCUCCCUAACGCACGCGUACCACGCGUCGUCGUCUGCCGCAGCGCGCCACCACGAAAACAAGCUCAGCGCCCCGGCCAAGUGCCGGAACCAGCCCAUAUUCAAGCAUGAGGCUCCCAAAUUAACUGCCAUUAAUGCUGUCACUUGCCAAGUGCCUCAAACGGCUGUAUUAAGCGCAUGCAUCACGGAUGAGAAUGAAAACAAUAAGGUAAACACUGAUGCUAAUCAAAAUGUUGUUGAACCUAAAGCUUUUAUCAAAGAGGAAAACACCAACAAUUCCUCUCCAGUCACGGUUAUAAACAUCGACAACUGUUAUGCAAAGUACAGUGCUGAAUCACCAAGUGACUUGGAGUUGACAAAUGAAACACCCAAGGAACAAGUUAGCACACCUCAGCCCAACCCACCGGAGCCAGAGAGCACAAACUAUAGGAUACUUAAAAGUAACAAAGUAAGAUGCAAUUUACAUGAGAAAUUAGAGAAAGGGAGAAGCAAGAAAACUAUUAACAAAGAGGAAUCAAAAGAGGAACCAAAGGUGACUAUUAACAGAGAAGAGCCAAAAUUAAAAGAGGAAACUCAUGAAACUGAUCUACCAUCACCAAAACAACCUGAACCAGUGCAAGAGAAACCAAAACGGCCAAACACACUCGAUUUUAUCAAACCAAAUCCAGAUAUUGCAUUUAAGCCCCACGCAGAGAGUGAGCCGUGCAGAUCCGUCUCACCGGCCCCUCCGAAACAGGAACCCCGGAAAGAGACACCCGGGACGUAUAGACCUGAGAGAGGGUUCUCCGAGAGACCGGAUCGUUUUCCUGUCAAUGUUUCAGUUAAUGUCAAUUGUCAUAUGGACUAUGGGUACGAUCCAUGGUUAGAAGAUUAUCAUAGUCCGAGACCUAUAACAUCGGUUAAUUUGACAGUUUGUACGCCAACGUCCAACAUGGCUAGUCCGGUGCGAGAUAGGGAGGAUGAUUUCGAAGGGCACGUGCUGGUGACGGUGAGCCCGAGCACGGCGCGGGCGCCCCCGCGGCGCCGGGCGCCGCCGCCGCCCGCGGGGCCGGCGCAGGAGCGCCUGGAGCCGCGGCCGACGCGCGCGGCGCCUGCGCCGCCAGAUUCUUCACAUGUUCCAGAUCGGUCCCUCAUCGAGCGUCAAAAAGAACGCCUCGGCCGCCUCGCGCGGGCGUUAGCGCAGGAGCGGACGCGUCUCGCGCAGUUGACACGAGAAGCGCGAGUUCUCGCUGCGCCUUUACCAUCGCCGGCGCAACGGCAACAGUUGAGGGAUGACGUACAACGCUUGAGGGCGCAGUGCGAUCAUCUUACUAAGCGGGUCGAGCUUUCUGCGCCGACUUUAGAGCAAGAAGAGUCGGACAACUUCUACAACAACAUCUACACGGGCCAGCGGCCGCCCGCGUCGUGGAAGUGCCACAUGUGCACCUUCCUCAACCACCCGCUGCUGGACAAGUGCGAGGAGUGCGACAUGCCGCGCAUCCUCAUAGUUCGAGCUCACGAAGGGAUCACAGUGCGCUUGGUGCCAGGACGCCGGAGUAAGUACAUACAUAUCAGCUAAAACCAAGUUACAUGAGCUAGUUGUAUAUCACUAAUAUGUCAGCUAAUGUGGGCUUACAGCAACUUGCCCUGGGGAUAAAAAGAACAGUGUGAAUUCUAUACAACGGUUCUUUUUUAAGUCAUUUUACCUUUAAUUGCAUACCUAUGGACAUAAUUCAAGCUCAAUGGUAAUAUUGCUUAAUUGUAAUAGGUACAUCUUAACACGAGAAUGCGCCUUGCUGGCUAUACUUAAAUCAGCUUAACUAAUAAAGACUUUGUGGAGAUGCGACAGUGACAACUGACUGUGCUCUGUUCCUUAUUAAAGGCUUUGAUUUGAUCAUUUAUAUGAGUCAUAAUCAUUCACAAAUUGUCAUUGUAAUUAUAAACAUUAUCUAUUAUUUAUCUGUUCAUAGCCACUAUCAUUGAAUCAAUAAAUACAUGGUGCAUAUAAAAUGGAUCAUAAGCCUGAUAAAUUGUGCGUUCGUGGGUGUUAUGAACGACGCUCCAGACAUGAAUUCUCUUAAGUGCAGUAGUACAUACGUAAACCACCAAGAGAAUUGGACCAAGACAAGUUGGCAGCAAUUUUAAUAGCCCAGAUAAUGCUAAUAUAAUGUUAAACGUCAAGCUUCUAUGAGAUUAUGACGUUUAAAUAACACAUGCACCGUUUGGACUAUCAAAAUCGUUGCCAACUUAAAUUGGUCAGACUCUUAACCUUAUUGCAACUAUAUAAGGGCUUCAAUUGGUUACUUAAGUGCGUCUUCGUAUGUACAUAAGUCGAAACGGAUCUGUGAUAUUCGCAUUUGGUUAAUUAUUACAAAGUCUGAUAUGUUAUUAUUUUCAUCUACAGUUUUGAGUUCACAUUCCAAAUUUUAAAAUAUCGUUGUAUUUUCCUAUUCUCAGUGAGUGCUGUUACCAAAUGCGAAUAACUGUUGUUAUUUUCGUUAACUGCUGCACUUAAGGUGAAUAGGGAAUUAUGUACGACAAGACCUGGCUGACACUGCCAGAUGAAUUUAGUAUUUAAUAUAUUUAUAGUAAGUUACAGAUGAACUGGUUGAUGUUAGCUAAUAUUUUUCGUCAAACACCUUACAGCAGAGCAGUAUAUUCCCUUCUGACUUAAUUAGACAAAUUUGCUUAGGGACUGGUCCCACCGCGAGCUAGUAAGCUAUGAGCUAUCGGCUAUAAAAACGAACAAAGGAUA